rnacentral:lncRNA from 1 species
GGAAGGCAGAACCUUGGACAGGGAUGGCCACAACUUCCUCUGAGAUCAGAGGAAAGAGGCAAGGAUGACGAGAGUGAAGAGAGCCUGGUGCUAGAGGGGCUGUGUGGACAGGCUCAGCAGACACCUCAGAUGGGACCUCUGUGGACUGAUGAUUCAAGGACCACCUCCCCUCCAACCUGCCUGCUUCAACACAAAUCGUGUUCAUGGAGCUUCAACACCACCCUGGGAAAAACAGGGAGAGGAAACCCAGAAUAAAUGGAAAAUACGUUUCUGACCAUCAGGUGGAAUAGGAACUUGAAAUAGAAAUAGAGUUAUAGAAAAAAUUUAAAAAUUCCUAUUUCUGAUAUCACUGAGUUUAUGAGAGACUCAUUGUGGCAGGGGCAGCAGCAGAGACUCGUGACAAAGAUGCCAGCUCCAGCAGACACAGCCCCCAGGAUGGCCAACGGCCCAGCCCAGGAGGAAAACAGGAGAGUUUGGCAGUGACCAGAGGAAACGAGUCUCUGCGAGAGAGAGGAGUCAUUCGAUCACACUGCCUGGGGCUCCUUUGUGAGGAGGAAUGAGAACUUGGAAAAACUCCUAUACUAUACGCUGUAUACUUACUUUUUAGUCCAAAGUGUGGGUCAGUUAUUUCAAACAAAUCCACUCGGCAGCUAAAUAAAGACCUGAGUUAAACCAAGAAGCCCUCCAAGGAUGCUUUCUCUCUCAUGGCCGGGACCAAGUGGGUUCUGCUUGACUGGUGGUGUGGCACCACGAGUAGGAAACAUCUAUGUCAAACAAGCCAACGUGACCAGUGUUCCCAGAUGCUCAAGCCAGAACAGCAGGCUGGGUGUCCAGAGGUCAGACAAUCCGUCUGCUCUACCAUGCACUAAGGACCAACCAGAGAAGCCAAAUAUGCAUCGCAACCAACCACAUGGGAUGCCCCGCUUCCAGAUAGCCCACCUGCAGAUCCCUGACGCCAACAGCCUCCAGACAGGGCACACCUGGAGCCUGCCCUUUUCUACUCUAAAGCUUCCCCACUCCUCUGCUGCCUUUGGGUCUCUGCCAAAAUGCAGGUGAUGGCGGCUGACUCCCUUGCUGCAGCAAGCCCUG